UACGGAGGGUGCAAGCGUUAAUCGGAAUUACUGGGCGUAAAGCGCGCGUAGGCGGUUUGAUAAGUCGAUUGUGAAAUCCCCGGGCUCAACCUGGGAAUUGCAGUCGAGACUGUCAGACUAGAGUGUGGGAGAGGGUGGUGGAAUUCCCGGUGUAGCGGUGAAAUGCGUAGAUAUCGGGAGGAACAUCAGUGGCGAAGGCGACCGCCUGGCCCAACACUGACGCUGAGGUGCGAAAGCGUGGGUAGCAAAC
rnacentral:rRNA from 1 species